rnacentral:rRNA from 1 species
UGCAUAUCAAAAAAGCGGAGGAAAAGAAACCAACAGGGAUUGCCUUAGUAGCGGCGAGUGAAGCGGCAAUAGCUCAAAUUUGAAAUCUGGCACCUUCGGUGUCCGAGUUGUAAUUUGAAGAAGGUAUCUUUGGUUUUGGCUCUUGUCUAUGUUCCUUGGAACAGGACGUCACAGAGGGUGAGAAUCCCGUGCGAUGAGAUGCCCAAUUCCAUGUAAAGUUCCUUCGACGAGUCGAGUUGUUUGGGAAUGCAGCUCUAAGUGGGUGGUAAAUUCCAUCUAAAGCUAAAUAUUGGCGAGAGACCGAUAGCGAACAAGUACUGUGAAGGAAAGAUGAAAAGAACUUUGAAAAGAGAGUGAAAAAGUACGUGAAAUUGUUGAAAGGGAAGGGCUUGAGGUCAGACUUGGUUUUACCAGGCCAGCAUCAGUUUGGAUGGCAGGAUAAUAGCUUAGGAAUGUGGCACUGCUUCGGUAGUGUGUUAUAGCCUGGGUUGAUACUGCCUGUCUAGACUGAGGACUGCGUCUUGACUAGGAUG